CAAGGUAGCUGGGUGAUCGCCGUUUAAUUUAUAUAUUAAUUAAAGGGAGGAAAGUCCGAGCUCCACCGGAUAAGAUGCCCGUUAACGGCGGGGCGAAGUGAUUCGCCGGAAAGUGCCACAGAAAUAUACCGCUUGUUUAUCAAGUAAGGGUGAAAAGGUAAGGUAAGAGCUUACCGCUUUAAUGGUAACAUUAUAGGCUAGGUAAACCCCAUCUGGAGCAAGGCCAAAUAGAGGAAUAAAAGUAUCCGGCUAUUCCCGGGUUGGCUGCUUGAUUCUAACGGUAACGUUAGAGCUAGAUAGAUGAUCACCGCUGGUUAAACAGUACAGAACUCGGCUUAUAGGCUGCCUUGAGCG
rnacentral:RNase_P_RNA from 1 species